ACCUUUACUUUGUUUUUUAUUAGCACAUAAAAAAGGAGAACAAUGAUUUGUGUGGAAAAAUUGGGAAGAGAACAAGGAGACCUUUGUACAAAAGGAGAUCAAGAAAAAAGGUAAUGAGAUCAUAUUUCUUCGGAACAAAAUUAAGCAAUAUUUAUUGAGGUCUUUAGAAUCAAAUAAUUUAUUUCUCCAACAUUGUACACUUCUUGUUACAUAUUCAGUGAUGUUAGAAUUAUAACUUGGUAGAAUUUAUUUUGUAUUAAAAUUUGUAAGCCUAAACAAGACUAACUAUUGUAAUUCUAUUGAAGACAUUAAUAAGAAUUUAUUUAUAUUUUCUUA